UCCCCCUGAAAAUGGACUUUUCUUCUUUUACCACAUUACCAGGCUGUGACAAAGAUAUCUGAGAAUGUAGAAGCAGGUUCAGAAGUGGGUAAAAGAGAGAGAGGUCGGGAGAGUUGGGAACCCUUAGAAGACAGCAAGAUGAGGAAAAGUUUAGACCACUGAAAAUAACUGUUAAAUACUUGGGAUCAGAAGUCUGACAGAAAGAUGGACAGUGAAGGCCAGACUUAAAAGGUCUCAGAUGAAAAUGAGGAAUGUCCUGUGAACAGGAGCCAAGGGUACAUUUGAUUGGCCUUAGCCCUGGAGAUCUCUGAAACUGUGAACAUGGGGGUGAUGAUUUAGGAUGUAUCUGGUGGAAUGAACAUCUAGGCAGCAUAGCUCAAGAGGUGUCCUCUCUACAUCCAACAGCCUGUGUUCUUAUGUGUGACCUAAGAAAUGACCUCAAGUUGCAACUUCUAUUUAAAUGAGAAGUGGAGCUCAAAAAUUUGAAAAAUUUGCAGCCUAGCCAAGUGGUCAAAAAGAAAAGCUGAUUUUCAGGGGGGAAAUUCAAGAACGCUUAGAGUGUUUGCAUAAAAAAGAGCCCAGUGCAAAUAGCCAAGACAAUGGGGAAAAGGCCUUGAAGGCAUUUCAGAGAUCUUUUCAGCAGCCGUUGCUGUCACAGGCCCUAGGGAUGAGGAGAGAAUGGUUUCCUGGGCCAGCUCCAUGGCCUGGCUGCUGUGUGCAUCCUCAGGACACCGCUGCCUGCAUCCCUGCAGCUCCAGCUCCAGCCAUGGCUGAAAGAUGCACAGGUACAGCUUGGGUCACUGCUCCAAGCCCUGAUGGCUUCCACAUAGUGUUAAGCCAGGAGGUGCACAGAGCAAGAGACUAGAGGCUUAGGAGCCUCCGUCUAGACUCCAGAGGAUGUACAGAAAAGCCUGGGUGUCCAGGCAGAAGCCUUUCCAAGAGGCAGAGCCUCAUGGGAAACCUUUACUAGGGCAGGAAAGAAGGGACAUGUCAGGUUGAAGCCCUCACACAAGGAGGCACCAUCCUUCAAACCCCAGAUUCAUAGACCCACCAACAGUUUGCACCCUCAGUGUGGGAAAGAUACAGACACUCGACACCAGCCUCGUCCAUGAGGGCAGCUGCGGGGACUUAUCACUGCAAACCCACAGGUGGAGAUCUGCCCAAAGCCUUGGGAGCCCAGCCCUCACACCCCUGUGCCGUGGAUGUGGGACAAGGAUUCCAAAAGGAUGAUUUUGGAGCUGUAGGAUUGAAUGACGGGCCUGCUGGGUUUUGGACAUUCAUGUAUCCUAGGCUCAGGGGCAGAAGAGACUGCCUCAUCUCAGAUGAGACUUUGGGCUUCAGACAUUUGAGUAAAUGCUGGAAUGAGUUAAGACCUUGUGGCACUGUAGGUAAGGCAUCAUUGUAUUUUACAAAGUGAGAAGUACAUGAGACUGGGGGAGGCAGGGACAGAAUAAGAUUUGGCUGUGUGUCCCUAAAGAAACUCAUGUGGAAUUGUAAUUGGAAAUGUUAAAACUGGGACAGGUGGAAGGUGAUUUAAUCAUGGAGAGCAGUGGGUGUUGGAAGGUGGGG
rnacentral:lncRNA from 1 species